GACGAACGCUGGCGGCGCGCUUAACACAUGCAAGUCGAACGGAAAGGCCUGCUUUCCCUUGUGGAUUGCGGGUACUCGAGUGGCGAACGGGUGAGUAACACGUGAGUGAUCUGCCCCCAACUUGGGUAUAAGCCCGGGAAACUGGGUCUAAUUCCCGCUAGGACUGCAGGGUGGUGCCUGUGGUGGACAACGACUUUCUAGUGGUUGGGGAUGAGCUCGCGGCCUAUCAGCCUGUCGGUGGGGUAAUGGCCUACCAAGGCGGCGACUGGUAGCCGGCCUGAGAGGCUGUACAGCGACAUUUGGUCUGGGAGACGGCCCAGACGCCUACGGUGGACGGCGAUGUGGGAUAUUGCACAAUGGGCGGAAGCCGGGAACAGCGACGCCGCGUGGGGGAUGACGGCCUUCGAGUAGUAAACUCCUUUCGACCGCGAGGUAGCCACCUGGUUGGAAGGAUGUUGACGGUAGUGGUAGAAGAGACACCGGCUAGCUACGUG
rnacentral:rRNA from 1 species